rnacentral:lncRNA from 1 species
GCACCGCAAAAAAUAUUUCCUUUAUCCAGUUUACGUCACUGAGUUACAUUCCAAGCCGUCGAGAAGAUCAAUCGAAUUGGUCAGCUAGCUCAUCAUACAUACGUACGUAUUGGAUAUCCACCUGUGUGCCUGUUAGCUUCACAAGCUAGCUUAGCACGUAGGAGUGCUGCUGCUGGUUUGAUCUAAGCUAGGGUUCAAAACCGACAUGUGUAGUAAGACCUCAUGCUCGUGCAUCUUACGUUCAUCCUGACUGGUUUUCCCGGUGACCUUUCUCUCUCUCAAAUAUUCCCGCCAGCGACUUUCGUGCAGAAUGCCUUUGGGACCGAUGCAAACAGGCCUCUCGUCACACUAGUCCCUUAGUUUAUUUGCGGUGAUUCUACCUUAUAGGUUUCUAUAAGUGGUAAAACAAGGCAGAUGCGAUUGACCACUCUCUUUUCAAGUUUCAAGGCUACCAAAUGCUACAAAUAGAGCACCUUCAGCAUGCCUUUGCAGGUCCAAGCGGAACCUGUAGGACAAGCAUGUACUGAAGUGCAUCCGCAUAUAUACCUCUUGGAAAAUGGACAGAGAAAUAGAAUGUGAAACAAGAGGAAAUUGGGAAUUGUGAUCAGACAGCAGUCAAAAAAUGUCUAGUUUACUUUCCAUACACAUGCGAGUAUAGGAAUUAAUCUGGCGCCAGUUUUAAUGAGAGCUCCACAUGUGUUCCAUGAACAAACAUUUUCACGCCAUCAUAAGUAACUCUGCUUCAGAAUCCAUGCAAUAGGUCAUCAAAGACUACCACAGAGUUAACUCUACCCAAAACAAGUGUAGAUGAAAUUACAGAUCCCAUUUCUGAAUUACAAUUUAGCCAAUUCACGUCGUGGAGGGCAUUUUUUUAUCAGUUUCACACUAUUAUUAUUAAAGUUUUAAAUAGCGAGCUAAUAUCAUUUAGCGACGGUUGAAUCAAAAGAUAUGAAAUGCUAUAGCAAAGGAGAGACCCAUCUAGAAUUUUUGCUCAAAUAUUGAACGAAAUAGAAAAUUAGGCAAUGGCUUUAAAUUGAGUGCUAUACCGGGACAUAGCAAGUUAUUAGCACACAACAGAGAAAUCCGCGACGGCGGCGAAGCGCGGCCGCUGGUGGUGCCUCCCCCCUCUCCUCCCCGAUGCAACCUGCCUCUCAUGCCCCGCUGGUGCUGCCUCCUCUUCCAGUCGUGCCACCCCGGGAGGCUAAGCGGACGUCUCCCAUCACCACGGUUGUCGGCUCUGCCAACCUCUUUGGCCAAAUGCCGUAGAAGUAAAAAAAAUCAUUUUUUAUUAAAUAUGAUGUGUUCUUACAUUAUUAUUUUUUUGCAAUCGUGACGUGAUAUGUGUUUACCAUGUUGAUGUUUGUUGUAUGUAGUGUGGAUGAUGAGACUUUCUUGCAUUACACUUGUGUUGCACCGAUAAUUCCAUCACAUGAAAUUCCAUCACACGUUCUUGACGACAUGGAAGAUGACGGAUUUGUUGAUCCAACUCCAUCGUAG